UACGGGGGGAGCAAGCGUUGUUCGGAUUUACUGGGCGUAAAGGGCGCGUAGGCGGCCACCGCAAGUCAAUUGUGAAAUCUCCGGGCUUAACUCGGAAAGGUCAACUGAUACUGCGGGGCUAGAGUGCGGAAGGGGCAACUGGAAUUCUCGGUGUAGCGGUGAAAUGCGUAGAUAUCAGGAGGAACACCAACAGCGAAGGCAGCUCGCUGGGACGGUACUGACGCUGAGGCGCGAAAGCGUGGGGAGCGAACAGG
rnacentral:rRNA from 1 species